rnacentral:rRNA from 1 species
UACGGAGGGUGCGAGCGUUGUCCGGAUUUACUGGGCGUAAAGGGCGCGUAGGCGGCCACCGCAAGUCAGUUGUGAAAUCUCUGGGCUUAACCCAGAACGGUCAGCUGAUAGUGCGGGGCUAGAGUGCAGAAGGGGCAACUGGAAUUCUCGGUGUAGCGGUGAAAUGCGUAGAUAUCGAGAGGAACACCUGCGGCGAAGGCGGGUUGCUGGGCUGACACUGACGCUGACAGCGCGAAAGCUAGGGGAGCGAACGGG